GCCAGGCAUGGUGAUGCACGCCUGUAAUCCCAGUGGCUCUGGAGGCUGAGGCAGGAGGAUUUGAGAGUUCAAAGCCAGCCUCGGCAACAGUAAGACACUAAGCAACUCGGUAAGACCUUGUCUCUA
rnacentral:sRNA from 1 species